rnacentral:rRNA from 1 species
CCUACGGGAGGCAGCAGUGGGGAAUAUUGGACAAUGGGCGAAAGCCUGAUCCAGCGACGUCACGUGAAUGAUGAAGACCUUAGGGUUGUAAAAUUCUUUUAGUGGAGAAGAUAAUGACGGUAUCCACAGAAAAAGUCCCGGCUAACUUCGUGCCAGCAGCCGCGGUAAUACGAAGGGGGCAAGCGUUACUCGGAAUUAUUGGGCGUAAAGCGUGCGUAGGCGGCUUUAUAAGUUGGAAGUGAAAGCCUUUGGCUCAACCAAAGAAUUGCUUACAAAACUGUAGAGCUAGAGUAUUAGAGAGGAUAGAAGAAUUUCUGAUGUAGGGGUGAAAUCCGUAGAUAUCAGAAAGAAUAUCGAAGGCGAAAGCAUCUGUCUGGCUAAAUACUGACGCUGUUGCACGAAAGCGUGGGGAGCAAACAGGAUUAGAUACCCUGGUAGUCCACGCCGUAAACGAUGAGUGCUAGAUGUUAGAACUAUGUUUUAGCGUCGAAGCUAACGCAUUAAGCACUCCGCCUGGGAACUACGAUCGCAAGGUUAAAACUCAAAGGAAUUGACGG